GUGCUUGCUUCGGCAGCACAUAUACUAAAAUUGGAAUGAUACAGAGGAGAUUAGCAUGGCCCCUGCGCAAGGAUGACAUGCAAAAGAUCCACACCAUUAGAUA